UACGGAGGGAGCUAGCGUUGUUCGGAAUUACUGGGCGUAAAGCGUACGUAGGCGGUUAUUCAAGUCAGAGGUGAAAGCCCGGGGCUCAACCCCGGAACGGCCUUUGAAACUAGAUAGCUAGAGUCUUGGAGAGGUUAGUGGAAUUCCGAGUGUAGAGGUGAAAUUCGUAGAUAUUCGGAAGAACACCAGUGGCGAAGGCGACUCACUGGACACGUAUUGACGCUGAGGUGCGAAAGCGUGGGGAGCAAACAGG
rnacentral:rRNA from 1 species